rnacentral:rRNA from 1 species
UACUAGAGUAGCACUCGCAUAUCAAUAAGCGGAGGAAAAGAAACUAACAAGGAUUCCCCUCAGUAACGGCGAGUGAAGCGGGAAGAGCUCAAAUUUGAAAUCUUAAAGGGUUUCCCUUUACGAAUUGUAGUUUAAAGAAGUGUUUUCUGUUGGAGUUUCGGUAAAAGUUCUUUGGAAUAGGACAUCAUAGAGGGUGAGAAUCCCGUAUUUGACCAUUACUUUCCAGCUGUGUGAUACACUUUCAAAGAGUCGGAUUGUUUGGGAAUGCAGUCCAAAAUGGGUGGUAAAUUUCAUCUAAAGCUAAAUAUUGGCGAGAGACCGAUAGCGAACAAGUACCGUGAGGGAAAGAUGAAAAGAACUUUGAAAAGAGAGUUAAACAGUACGUGAAAUUGUCAAAAGGGAAGCGUUUGACACCAGUGUUGUUUAGUUGAAAAUCAAUUAAAUAUUUUUCGAUUUUAAGUAGUAUUGACCUUAUCAGCUUGCUGCUUUUUUCUCGGAAAUUAUUUAAUGCACUUUUCAGUUAACAAGUCAACAUCAAUUUCUUUUGUUGUAAAAAGGUAAGAGGAAGGUGGCUUGCGCUUCGGCUCAAGUGUUUAUAGCCUUUUACCCCUGCAAUCGGAGAGAUUGAGGUCUGCAGCGUAGAUCCUUCGGGGUUAGAUACAUUUGUGCUAAGCUAUAGCCUUGUAUAGACAACUUGUUGACUAUGCUCAGUCAUGUAGCUUACUCGCUUAUGCUAUUUUACCUACGCUUAGGAUGUUGAAGAUAUGCGCGACACG